GGUGAACGCUGGUGGCAGGCCUAAUACAUGCAAGUCGAACGGCAGCACAGCAGAGCUUGCUCUGUGGGUGGCGAGUGGCGGACGGGUGAGGAAUACAUGGGAAUCUGCCCAGUCGUGGGGGAUAGCGUAGGGAAACUUACGCUAAUACCGCAUGCGCCCUUCGGGGGAAAGCCGGGGAACCUUCGGGCCUGGCGCGAUUG
rnacentral:rRNA from 1 species